rnacentral:rRNA from 1 species
UACGUAGGGUGCAAGCGUUGUCCGGAAUUAUUGGGCGUAAAGAGCUCGUAGGCGGUCUGUCGCGUCGAAUGUGAAAACUUGGGGGCUCAACCCCAAGCCUGCAGUCGAUACGGGCAGACUAGAGUGCGGUAGGGGAGACUGGAAUUCCUGGUGUAGCGGUGAAAUGCGCAGAUAUCAGGAGGAACACCGGUGGCGAAGGCGGGUCUCUGGGCCGUAACUGGACGCUGGAGGAGCGAAAGCGUGGGGAGC